rfam:Coccidioides immitis RMSCC 2394 cont1.523 mitochondrial, whole genome shotgun sequence.
CUAAUGUUUUAGAAGCUUUUGAUUCAGUAGAGCAUAUAGCAUAAUGUGUUCUCUAAAUCAGGCUAAAUUGCUGGAAACUCUAAAACUUUUAAGACAAUCAGCAGGUAACCUAAGAAGUAUUUAAGUAUAUCAAUAUUUAUUACUACCUAGGAUCUUCAGAGACUAAACGCCUGACAUUUUUGAAAAGAUGAAGAGAUAGUCCAAUUUUACUGGAAAGUAAAA